rnacentral:rRNA from 1 species
GACAGAGGGUGCAAACGUUUUGUUCGGAAUUUACUGGGCGUAAAGCGCACGUAGGUGGUUUUGCUAAGUCAGCUGUGAAAUCCCGGGCUCAACCUGGGCACUGCAGUUGAAACUGGCAAGCUAGAGUAGGGGUAGAGGGGUGUGGAAUUCCAGGUGUAGCGGUGAAAUGCGCAGAUAUCAGGAGGAACACCGGGUGGCGAAGGCGGGUCUCUGGGGCCGAUACUGACUGAGGAGCGAA